AAUUUAAUUAAAAAUAUAAAAUCAAGGUCGGUGAAAUCUGGACCGUUGAGUGAGAAUAUACGUAGAUGUGGAUUAGUUUGGACAACAUCAGAUAGAUCCAGAUCAGCCUAGACCAACCGACCCCGUCUCGAGCUACGACGGAGCUCAGCGCUCUCUUCCGUCGUCCGGCCGCCUCCCGGCGCAAGGCUGGUGUCUACGGGUUCGUCUCGCCGUCCCCGACCUCAAGAUGCCUUUCGUUUUCGAAGAGGAGCUCCGGCGAGAGAGAAAAGAAGGAGAGAAGAACAGGCUGGGUUCGCCGGUGAGAUUUCGAUUCCAGCGACGGCGGCGAGUGUGAAUGGUACUAGUAGCUUCGUCUCGGUCUCGUCGACGUCCCUGUGCCUUCAGCUUGCAGAGAUGAGGUCCGGUGAGGGAGAAUCGAAGAGGAGAAGUUCUUGGAUUUUCCGGCGAGAGUUCGACGGAUUCCGGCGAGCUUUGAUGUCGACUCAGUUGAAUUGAUGAGUGUUUUCUAUGCUUGAUUGGUAAAAAGAUGAGAAUUGGGUGAUGGGAAGUUGAGCACUGUUAUUAGAACAGGGAAGGAAGUUUGGCUGUGCGUUUGGCAACAGAAGUUGAAAUGGAAUUGUGUUGUUAAGGGAUGCAGAUGUUUCUGAGUUUUGGGACAUAAAUUAGUUGUUUCUGUUAAGGACAGCCGAGUUGAUAUCGAACCAGAAAGAAUUGAGCAAUAUGGUCAAUUACGUUGUUAGGAGCCAUGUAUAAUUGUGAGUUAUAGGUUUUUGUGUUAAUUGAAGAUGUACUCGGGAUACUGAAGCUAUGAAGUUUCAUAAUUUGUCUUUUAUGUUGUGUGGUGAGCAAUGCAGCCAGUGAUGCCAUUUGUUGUCUAGAUCAAAGUGAGUUAAGGCAAUGGUUAGUUAAAUUCCAUGUGGAGUUGGAUUGGUGCUUGGUACAUUAUUGAGAUCGAAAACAUAAUCGAACUUGUUCAAGACGGAUUAAGAGUGGAGUUAAAAGAAAAGUUAGUAUGGACGACAUUGAUUCGGCUAUUAUUGGAGAAAGUGAGAGGACUUGCCAAAUAAGGAUUUGGGUGUCCUUAGUAAUUUCUGAGUUUGAUCAUGUUUAUUUGAUGUGA